UUUGUUGUCUUGACAUCCCAAUUGUGUUCAUAUCCUGUUCAGAGCCACUGCAACGAACCUGUGCUGCCUUGUGUUUAAAUAGAGUAGACAUGGUAACUAGAAGGCUCUAAAGAGUUUCAAACAAAACCUUUAAGGAAGGUUAACUGCCAUGCUAAUAUUUUUCCCUUUUUGUGUAUGUUCCUCUGCACCUGGCCAGGUUCAUUGUGGGCAUUAAAUACCUUCUGAAAGUACCACAACUGGAAAAGUGAUAUCAGAAUGGAUGGAUUAUUUAUCUCAUUGGAUGUGAUGUAACAGAAGAGUCUGGAUUAGUGAGGACUAAAACACAGCAACUGGAGAAAAGGACCAUGAGGUUAAGGAGGGAAUCCAUGAUUUGGGGAUACCUGAGCCAGUUCCUGAAGAGACUCUCCCUCCAUGACAUCACCAAAGCAAACAUGAAGAAAUGGGCAGUAUUUUGGCCUACAUAUUUAAUGUUCUGCUGAGAUGUAGAUGCUGUCAUAGCAGGAAAAUGUUUUCUGGAUCUGUCUCAGAGCUCCUGUUCCCCAGUGCUCACUGCCAAUGGAGGAGUUGUGGUAGAAAUUCUGGAGAGAAACUUCUGUCCCAGAAACCACCGAGCCUCAUCCCUCCCAUGACACACACGACUGGCACAAGGGCACGGGGAAGGAAAAGUGCCAAGCUGUGCUCUGAGAAACUCCUGGGAAACGGUGAUGGUGGCACCAAGAGCAAAGCACAAGAUUCCUGAAUAUGAGACAUUCUCCCUGCUGGCAGCUGCAGAGGUAUGAGCAACGUGAUGGCACAGCCUCUGAAUUUCCUUGGCCAUAUUUUAUGCCUUUAUUUUCAUCUGGACUUAGAGCCAAGGCUUGCAGUGCACCUCCUGUGGCAAAACCCUCCCAGCAGUUAUGAGCUCUGCAAUGUCUCCUCCAAGCUUCUUCUUUUUCAGAAAUCUUGUUUGCAGUUACUGUGAUUCUGUUUGUCCUUUGUCAUGGCACAGAAAUGCAAUUUUCAUUUCGUGAAGGGACAUCAAAUGGGAGGACAGGAAAGUUUGGGGAAGUAGAAUUAGAUUUUUAAUGACAUUUAAGCCGCACUCUAACAUAUGCUUGUGGUCCAGCAGAAUUGAGUGUGGUGUUCCAUUUGUUGUUCUUGCAGUCCCAGAGUUACCAACCUCCAUAUCCAUGUGGGUUUUUUAAUGCAGGUUACUGGAACAUUAAACCAGAUCACUCUAGAGCUGAUGGUCUGUUUGUGUGUAACCAGUCUAGCCAGCAAAAGGAAACAGAGUUCACUCAGCAUCCCCACUUGUGGAAUAUUCAGAAGAGGAAAUAGUCCUGUUGGAAGAUUCCUACAGAAACCAAAGCCAAAAAGCAGCCCUGAUUGGGAACCUCCUCUGCUCAACUAUUUUGUUACAAGUGGCCCAAAGAAGAAUUUGGCCCCAAGAUUUUCAUUUUUCAACUCUUGUUGCAGCAGCAGCUCUGGGUUAAGCAAUGGCUAUGGUGUGCUCAGGGCACCAAACCAGAAAAUCUGAGACAGAGGGCCCAGAUGCAGAAUUUCCUGCGAUAACCUAAACCAAAUGCCACUGACUGCAGCUCCCCUCAAGAUCUCCCUGUUCACAGCCUCGCUGGUGGCCAGCAUCCAGACUGAGCAUUAGCAAAACCAACAAACCAAACAGUUCCCACAGUAAGUCCCUUGCUCUCCAGUUAACUUAUUUAACUGUGGAGCUUCUAAGGGGGAUGUUUCAUCUGCUGUUGUUGCAGCAAGUGGGUAUCCAUGGCAAAACCCAAGGGCACUGCCCUACAGCAAUGAAGGCUUGGCUAAGCAGCAACAGGAACUGGAAAAGGUCAGAGCUGCACAGCAGCCCUGCUCCAUUUUAAAAAUAAAGCAAAUCAGUUUGCUAAGAAAUGAGGCAGGUUCUUCAGUGGCUUGCAGAUCAGACCUGGGGUGUCUCAAAUCAAUUUUCCCAAAGAUACUGGGGAAGAAAGGAAAAUGCUCAGACAAUUCUACAAGGAGAGCACCACAGAGCUUCACUGCCAAGGGAAGGACAAGAAUAGAAGGGACUUUGGGGCUUUGCAGAGGCCAAGGAACAGGGAACAAUUUCCCGGCUGCUCUGUCCCCAUCUCUGUCCUGUUCUUGUGCUCCCAAAGGUAUAACUCCCUGCUAUAAUUUUUCAUCCUUUAGGCAGGGACCAUUUCUAUAUGGUUCUGUACCUGGAUGGUCUUGCAGUGCCACCUUCUCUAGGAAUAUCACAGGAAUCCAGCACAUUGGUUUGGUGAUCUGCAGUUGUUCCAUUCCACCUCUUGGAUAAUGCUGCUGAAGUCCACCAGAAGGAGCCUUUGUGAAUUAAUUUUGCAUAAGCCUUGAGGAAUGUAUUAACAUGUAAGUAAAAACCCAGUGAGUCCUCCAACUGUGUUGAAUUAUCAUAAAAUUAAUCUUCCCAAUCUGAAUGAGAAUAGGAUGCCCUGGAUUUGCAAUACAAAUCCUGUACGUUAAGGAUAUGGAUGGUUGAACACCCACUGCAAAAGAUGACUUUUCUCCCAGCCUCCUCAUUGACUGACAUGUGUAGUUUUAUUUCUUAAUAACUAUAAAGGGCUAAAUCCACUCCUACAAUAGCUUGUAUCAGGUCUGUGUUCUCCUUCUUGCUUGCAGUCUGCUCUUAGAUUUGUCCUAAGCAACUUCCUGUCUUCGCCAAGGCAGCUUCAUAAUUUGAGAUAUGCCUGUCUUUGCAGGAGUUACCUUUGACCACAGAAAAGUUGAAAUAUAUUCUUCUCUUCUCAGGUUGUCGCAGUAAAAGCACAGGGAGGUGUCAGCAAACUGGCUCUGCCAAGCUCCUGCAGCUCUGAUCUGAUGGCUGGAUUUUAUCCGUAGGUGUUUUGAGGAGGACGAGCACUUUGCACAAGAACGGGGCGGAAAAAAUAAAAGCAAAUUAACUGACUUCCAUAAAGUUAUCCUUACUCACUUUCUCUUCCCUUUCCUGCUGUGUUUGUGGUAGCAGCUCAUUAGAGCCUGUGUUUGCAAUAGCUGCACCAUGAGAGAGGAGAUUUCAUUUCCCGUGCUGCUUUCCAGGAUGUGGCAGAACCGAGGCCGCCUCCCCAGCAGUACCGGGGGUUUGUGGUGCUCAGGUUUAGCCUUAACCCCUUUCUUGUUCUGUUCUGCCUUUAAGAGAACUCCUGUUCCUGCUUCGAGGGAAGAAGAGGAGCUGGGGUUUCCCCUCUGAGAGCUGUGGGGCUCAUGUUUGAAGGAGAAAAAAGCCUGUGCUGUUUUUCCCCCCUGCCCAGCACCAGCAUGGGGAGCAGAGAUGCUGCUGGUCUCUCUGGAGAGCUCUGCCAGCCCUGCCGAGGAGCCCGAGUGUGGUUGGGUGAUUUGAACCUCUGCCAUCCUUUGGAGCAGAAUGGAGCUCUGUGAAAGGACAGGGACUGAGUGCCAGCGGGGCUGUCAUUAGCCCGGCAGCCCAGGGAGCAGCUGAUGCGCACUUUGUGGUGGAAGUCAUGCAGACAGAAGGGGUGACUCAGGGAUGGGGAGGCCCCGACCCCAAAGGUGUGUUCCAGGCUUGCUGCUUGCAUGGACCAGGACAGCUGGUGGCCUCACACGACACAAGGGCUCCACGGACCAUCUAUUUGCACAAGGCUGUCAAUUUUGCAGUGAUGUCGAGUGCUGCUGGCCCAGCUCCACCUUUCUACCACACUAAUCAAAGGAAAUGUGCCCUAGUCUUGAAGUCUGGUGAUUCAGGACUGAAAAGUUUAAUGGCUUUCCUCGGGUUUUUUGUUUGGUUUUGUUUUUUCCCUCUCUUUUAUGAAGCAUAAGGUGUUUAGAACUAUGGAAGUUGUGCAAGAAAAAUAUUAAUGAAUAACUACGGAGUGCAGACAUUAUUGCAUUCCUUUCUCUUGAAAUAAUUGGCUUUUCUCUGUGGGGUCUGUAAUAAAAAAAGUGUCUGCAGAGUCUGAACCUGCUGUAUAGACGCCAAAGUAGAUGAUGAUUUUAAAACCUCACUGGCUUUUUUUAUUUUUUUCUCCUAAAAUCUCUGCAUUUAUCAUGUUGCAAAAAAUCUCUUUCUCUGAGAAAUGAUAAACCUAAGGCACAGGGGCAGUUCUUGACAUUCUGGGUGAUGGAAACUAUGAACGAAUAAUGAUUUUUGGGAUCCUCUCCCACAGCCCAAACUCCAACUGAUGCUGGAGAAGAGGAAUUAAAGAACUGCAAGCACCCCACCAUUGGAGGUUCUCAGUGGUGGGUUCUGAAGUACCACGUAGCUUUUCAGCCUUUGUUUUCCUGCAGUUAUGGACCAAGGGGUCCAUGCAGCAAAUAUGGGGCUGUGCUGCAGUAACAGUUUGAAUGGCAGGGAGGGGCAGAAACCUGCAGGUCAGCUCAAAAGCAGUGGCACUUCCCAGUAGGAGCUGUCCCUCCUUUCAUGGAACAAAACGCAAAAGGACGGUGGAGAACCCCAUUGCUGCCUACCCGUGGAAAUGGGAACGGCGCAUCCCUGUCCCCGGAGGCUGCACGGGUACAAUAUCCAGGUGCCCAGCGCAGAAGCAGAAGGCUUAAGAACCUUAUUCAGAAAGACAGUUCUGAACCUCUGUUCACCCCCUGGACGCCCUCCCUGGCUGCUCCACCUUGGCGAUUGGGUUCAACACCCCCCCUUCCUCCUGCCCUGGCUUCCACCGCCCCUCAGCCACAAAGGCUGCCGGUGCCGCUCGGCUUU